CGGUAAUUCCAGCUCCAAUAGCGUAUACUAAAGUUGUUGCAGUUAAAAAGCUCGUAGUUGGAUUUCUGCGGGGACGGAGCGGCCGGACGCAACUUGCGUCUCGAGCUAGCGCUUUCCCCACAUCCUGCCGCGAACCGUGCUACCAUUAGUUUGGUGGCGCUGGGGAUCGGCUCGAUUACUUUGAGAAAAAUAGAGUGUUCAAAGCAGGCCACACGCCUUGAAUAAGUUAGCAUGGAAUAAUGACUAAGGACUUCGGUUCUAUUUUGUUGGUGUUCGGGACUGAAGUAAUGAUUGAUAGGGACAGUUGGGGCGGUCUGUAUUCCAAAGCGAGAGGUGAAAUUCUUAGACCUUCGGAAGACAAACAGCUGCGAAAGCGUUCCGCAAGGAUGUUCCCUUUGAUCAAGAACGAAAGUUGGGGGAUCGAAGACGAUCAGAUACCGUCGUAGUCUCAACUAUAAACUAUACCAGCUAGGGAUCGGCCAACGUUUAAUUAAUCGACUUGGUCGGCACCUUAUGAGAAAUCAAAGCAUCUGGGUUCCGGGGGGAGUAUGGUCGCAAGGCUGAAACUUAAAGGAAUUGACGGAAGGGCACCACCAGCCGUGGAGCCUGUGGCUUAAUUUGACUCAACACGGGAAAACUUACCAGGUCCAGACAUAGGAAGGAUUGACAGAUUGAUAGCUCUUUCUUGAUUCUGUGGGUGGUGGUGCAUGGCCGUUUUUAGUUGGUGGAGUGAUUUGUCUGCUUAAUUGCGUUAACGAACGAGACCCCAGCCUGCUAAAUAGCGCGGCUGAGCUUUGCUCGGUGCGAGCUUCUUAGAGGGACCAUGAUGCGCGAUAGCACAAGGAAGUUUGGGGCAACAACAGGUCUGUGAUGCCCUUAGAUGUUCUGGGCCGCACACGGGCUACACUGGCGCCUGCAACGAGCAUAUCAGCUGGCCCGAGAGGGUCUUGGCUAAUCUUUUGAACCGGCGCCGUGCUUGGGAUUGACCUUUGCAAUUGUUGGUCAUGCAACGAGGAAUGCCUUGUAAACGCGAGUCAUCAGCUCGCAUUGAAUACGUCCCUGCCCCUUGUACACACCGCCC
rnacentral:rRNA from 1 species